rnacentral:rRNA from 1 species
UAUUAGUCAAUGCUCGCAAGAGUGAACUAGCUAACUGAAAUCACAGAAUCCACUACGUGUGGUGAAUGUAAUAACGUAAGGGAAAAAAAUGAUAUUACCUUACUAUUAGUGUUGUCCAAAACUGGUGCCAGAAGACUCGGUAAGGCCAGAGACGCAAACGUUAGUCGUCCUAAUCAGGCGUAAAGGGUAUGUAGGCUGUUUUAAAAGUUUUAUAUUAAUAGCUAAUGUAUAAAAAAUAUUUAUAAAAAAUAAUUUAUACAUAAAAAUAUAAGAUGAAUUAAAGCUAGGAUCAAAUGGAGGAUAAGUCAAAUAAUACCUAGUGUAGGGUUUAAAUCUGUUGAUGUUAGGUAGAGUACUAACGGUGAAAGCUUUUUAUCUAAAAAUGAUUGACGCUGAGAAACGAAGGUGAGAAUAGGAAAUAGGAUUAGAUACCCAGAUACCUCUCACAGUCAACGAUGAAUGGUGGUUGUUAGUUAGUUUUAUUUAACUGAUAACGAUGUUAACACGAUAACCAUUCCGCCUUGCGAGUACGGUUGCAAAACUGAAACCAAAAAAAUUAGUCGGUCUCGAAGCAAACGAAGUGAAGCAUGUUAUUUAAUU